UACAGGGGGGGCAAGCGUUGUUCGGAAUUACUGGGCGUAAAGGGUCUGUAGGUGGCCAACUAAGUCAGACGUGAAAUCCCCCGGCUUAACCUGGGAACUGCGUCUGAUACUGGGAGGCUUGAGUAUGGGAGAGGGAUGUAGAAUUCCAGGUGUAGCGGUGAAAUGCGUAGAUAUCUGGAGGAAUACCGGUGGCGAAGGCGGCAUCCUGGACCAUAACUGACGCUGAGGCGCGAAAGCUAGGGGAGCAAACGGG
rnacentral:rRNA from 1 species